GAUCCUGGCUUAGGAUGAACGCUAGCUACAGGCUUAACACAUGCAAGUCGAGGGGCAGCAUGACGAUAGCUUGCUAUUGUUGAUGGCGACCGGCGCACGGGUGAGUAACGCGUAUCCAACCUUCCCUAUAGUAGAGGAUAGCCCGGCGAAAGUCGGAUUAAUACUCUAUGUUUUCCAAUGCAGACGUCUAAAAUGGAACAAAGGCUUGCCGCUAUAGGAUGGGGAUGCGUCUGAUUAGAUAGUAGGCGGGGUAACGGCCCACCUAGUCAACGAUCAGUAGGGGUUCUGAGAGGAAGGUCCCCCACAUUGGAACUGAGACACGGUCCAAACUCCUACGGGAGGCAGCAGUGAGGAAUAUUGGUCAAUGGGCGAGAGCCUGAACCAGCCAAGUAGCGUGCCAGGAUGACGGCCCUAUGGGUUGUAAACUGCUUUUAUAUAGGGAUAAAGUGCACUACGCGUAGUGUUUUGUAGGUACUAUAUGAAUAAGGACCGGCUAAUUCCGUGCCAGCCGCUGC
rnacentral:rRNA from 1 species